GGGAUAGAGGAGCGGGGCUGGCGGGCUGCCCGCGGGCGGAGCCUGCGCUGUGCACCGCCCGCCGCCGCCCCCGGCCCUGCCCCGGGCACCGCCGGCUCCCGCCGCCUGGCCCGGCCCGGCCCGGCCCUGUCGUUGCUGCAGCCCCGGUGCUGCCGGGUCGGAGCUGCCCUGGGCUGCAGGGCCCCGUUAGUCGUGUCGCCGGGGUGUGGUGGGGACUGAGCUGCUGGGGACACUCGGUGGCGUGGCUGGGUCCCCGGCGGGCUGUGGCGAGCGCCCUGCGGGGGAAGGUUUUCCUGCUGUGGCUUCCAAGUUGCUGCAGAUUGAUUGUCUCAGAACCCAUAUUACAGGGAGCUGCAUUGUAUGAAAAUCCUGGGCCAGACUUGUGUUCCAUCUUGGAUCAGUAGAUGAUUUCAGGUCCCCAAAUCCACGUUGUCCUGCUGUCCUGCAUAUAGCUUGCCUGGUCUAAGUGAAUACAGUUUAUUUUGUAGAGAAGAAAUCUGCCCCUGUUUCCUCUUCUUUCCAGUGUUUUUGCUUGUGCAAACAGAAUUGCAUCUUAUGAACCUUGUGGUUGGGUCAUACAUCAAGAUAUGUGACUUCAGAUCUGUUCUGGCUCAAGGACACUCUUGACUUCAGACCUUGAACGCUGAGACUUGUCUAUGGGUUGGCCUGCAUCACCUCAAGAAGGAUUGAGUCUCCUUAUCCACAUACCAUUCUUGGAUUUUUUUAAACAUGAUUUGAAGAAAAGCCCUAGGCUGUGAAUCCUGAGCACAACGUGGUGUCUUCUCUUGAUGCACAUUGAAACACUCUUAACUCCACCGAAGGACAGACUUUAAGAGAAGAUCCUAUUAGGCAUCUUCUAUUUAGUAGGUUUAAGCAGUUGCCUUUCCAGCACAUCAGUCAGCCUUUCACAAUGCCAAAUCUCUCACCCCUGAAAAGGUCUGCUGGAUGGCUAAUUUUGUGGUCUAGACUUCACUCCAGGCACAAAGAGGUUUGAUAUGCCAGUUACCUAAGAAAAUCUUUCUAUUUAGUUCCCAUUCAAGCCUAGAAGGCCUCCUACCCUAUUUCCAUGCAACAGCAGCCAGAUCACAAUGAAACUGGGAAUACUCAUGGCACCAUGAAGCUUGGGAAGAAAGUGGACAUUGCAUUGUACACCCUUGUCCAAGAGAGGACUGCCUCUGCCUUUCUCCAUUUCCAGAUCUCACUAACUGAAGCCUGUUGCCUUCCCUAGAGUCUGCAUCCAAGGCUCAGGAGAUGCAGAAUGCACAUGUGCCGUGGAUUAUAGACCCACAGAUGAUACAAGGACUUUUUUCAAAGGCAUUGAAAACAUUACAUGAAAUUGUAUCAUCUUUCUUUUCUGCAGCUCCUGUUAUUUCAACUUUAGUAAAGGCUCACAGACAUUGUACUUGUUAGAAAGCCCUAUAUAUGGUACCAUCAUGUAUAUGGUGCCAUCAGUAGUUGUGGAAGAUUUGGAAAAUUUUCUAGAUCACAAACUUAAGCAUUUUUACUACUUUUUUCUUCUUAAAUAGUAAGGUAGCUUCCCUGUGAUUUACAGACAUCCCAUACAGGAAUUGGGGGUGUUUGCAUUUUUUUUAAGCAGGAAAACGUGAUUGUGAAAUUAGAAGAAGCUGCCAGGAGAAAUCAGAGGUAGGGGUAGUUCAUGAAGUUAUUUUAAGAUUUUGAUAUUGUAUUGAUGAUUCAAUUUUUAAUGACUCAGUUGAAAGUUAAGAAACUUUUUAGAUCUGAUACUGUUUAAAAUAAGACUAUAUAGCACAAGUUUCAAGGUGAGAAGACUACAAGUGGUAUCAGUUAUCUCUUUUUUAUACAGUGAAAUAUGCUAAUUUUAAUAUAAAUAUCCCCUAGACUAGGCAAAAGACUGGCCUAGUUACACCACUACUUCUGAUCUGCAGGAAGUAUGCUAUCCAUGCAUCCAAUCUAAUCAUGACACCUUCCCCAUAAAAUAUCAUAGCUGCUCUACUUUAUUAUGAAAUUUAUCUGCACAUAGGACAUAUAUGCAGACCAUUUAUUUUGCUUCCUGCCUUAUCUCAGUUUUCCAGAAAACUGAAGGUCUGUAAUGCACAACUGUGUCUUUAUAUACUCAGUGUAGGAUCUUGUUGUUGAUGUCAACAGCAGCAGGGCUGUGCCUUUCAGCAUUAAUAUUUUGGACAGUGAAAGAGGAAGGUUUUAAUCUCUACGGAGAGUAGGCUAGCUUGAGUUUAUCUUAGUCUGUCUCAGGGCUUAGUAUUACUUAGAGAACAACAGAUCUGCUGUCUAGGUCAGAAAAAACUUCUUGAGGCAUGUAAAUUCCAAAUGAAAGUGAGAAGCCCAGCUAGGACGUUUUCAUUAAUGAGAGUUUCCUGGAGCCAUUUAGUCUUGUAUUUAAGGGUGUGUUGGUUAUUUAUGGCAGGGAAAAGGAACGGAUGUGUUGAUGUUCUGGAACUUUUCCUUUGUGCAUUGUUUCCCAUUUCACAGUUGUAUUUGGCACCCACUUUCCUCCAGGCAAUAAAGAAUAUUAAAGAA